rnacentral:lncRNA from 1 species
GUACUCGGCACUCAGCCAAUAAACCCGCACGCUGGGUACCGGUACUAGCCCGAAGCAAUACCGGUACUCAAUCCCAGUUCCGGUACUCACCAACAGGUACCGGUACUCAACACAAAGAUGCACAAACCCGAGAGCUCCCCUUUCGUGUAAUCUCUCUAGGGUACCGAUACACCUCUCAGGUACGAGUACACAACACUCAAAAUCCUGCUUUUGCAGAUUUCAGUAUUUGAACUUCUACUCUCACAACUCUUAGUCCGUUUUCGCGUCUAUUUCCCGCCAAAACGACUGUUACUCGUUCCGAUGCUCUAUAGAUAUGUUGACAA